rnacentral:lncRNA from 1 species
AUUAUUAAUCUAACUUUGUUUGUAACUGCAGGAUCCUUAUUGGCACAAGCUUUUAUGGUAUUGCUCUGAUAACAAUUCCUACCAAGGCUGUCCUCUCCCAGAAAAAUAAUAUAUGCAGAAAAAGAUCAUACGAAACAACUUGAAUUAUGAAGUUAAACUGUCUCUUAAACAAGUACUAGUCAGUCAUCAUGAAGCACAGACACUUCUCGGAGGUGGAGGUCGUAUCCGUAUCAGAUACUUGUCGACUGAGAGUAUUUUCAUUGAAUAACUUUUAAGUUAACCACUUGCUUAUGAGAAUCUCUUGCUUUAUGGUUAUGUAAAAUAUAAUAACUAAUUGUUAUAUCUAUAUAUGUACGUCUAUACAAAUAUAUAAAAUUUCAUCUUUAUGGUGAACUAAUUAUGAAGGCUGAAAGUCCACUUUGUGAUAGGCAGCUUGUGUAUGGAUUUUCCUGCUAGUUAUGUUGGCAAUCUUGAAGAAUUAGCUGUAGUCUAAUAGUUCCAUUGCUUAUUCUCCAACUAGUUAUGUAUGAUAGUACCAUUUGUUAAAAAUAUUAUUCCCCUAUGGAUAAUAAUAUAAAAUGUUACUCCUUCCUUCGUUCCUCAUUAUUGACUUUUGAAAGUUAAUUUAAUACAUUUUAAACUUGAAAUUGAGAUGAUUCAAGAAAUUAUGAAAGAAUAAAUUUUAUAAUAAAUAAAACUUUUUAGGUAGUUUGCAAUAUUUAUUCUAUUGACAAAAAAUAAAGGUAUUGAUGUCAAUUUUAUGUUUGAAAAUGUCUAAAAUUGACUUUAAAAACUCAAUAAUAAUUUAAUAUUUUAAAAUGGAGAAAGUACAAUUUUAUCAAGUUUAGCAUCAUAAUUUAGCUACUAGGUCACAACUUAAACUAAACACUUGUUAUAUUUAAGGAUUUAUAAGAAACAAAUAUAUAUAUAUAUAUAUAUAUAUAUAUAUAUAUAUAUAUAUAUAUAUAUAUAUAUGCUUUAUUUAUCAACUACAUAAUUAAAAACACAAACUUGGUUUGGUUUCAUCAAUUUUUGGUUCAACUUUCUUAUUUCUGUUAACAUAAGUACUAUCCAAAUUUGUAUAAAUUAAAUACUAUCCAAAUUUAAAAAUAUUCCUAUCAGAAUAGAAAAAAGACAGAUUUUUUUUUCUUUCCUAUUCAAAUUAGUAUAAGUACUAUACAAAUUUAUAAUAAUUAAAUAUAUAUUAUCCAAAUUUGUAAAGUAUUAAAAAAAACUCACUCAAUCUCUAAUGGAAAAAGUAACUUCUAAAAGAAUUUUAUUUUUGGUUUUUUUACCAAAUUUAAUUACAAAAAUUUUAUCACAAUUUUAUGUAAUUAAUCAAGACAAUAGAACACAUUAUGUUGUUCUCAAAAAGGUACAAAGAGAUCUAGAAGGGGGUUGAAUAGAUUCUUUAAAAUUUUCUUUUAAUAUGUUACUAGAUCAGUUAAGCAAGUUAAUUGAUUGAUAAAGUACAACAAAAUUGUAUUUUUAAAAGAAAAUUAUUAAAUCUAUAACAUUUUUUGUUAUUUUCACAACAAAAGUGUCGAUGUAGAUGUAUAGUGACGGUGAAAACCUUCACUAUAGAAUCUAUAAUAACACUUUUGUUGUGAAAAUAACAUUUUAUGUUGUUGAUUUAACAAUUUUCUUUUUAAAACCAUUCAAAGAUUAUAAGAAAAUGCACAGUUCUAAAUUUAGUGAGCAAUUGUAGAGACAAGUCCCAUACACAAAUGUAAAGUGACAGAAAAUGAAAUGCAGAAAGUUAAAGAACACGAGAUUUUUAAGAGAUUCACAACAUAAAAAUAUUUUAGUUCUUUUGUUGUGGAUGCUUUAUUUACUCGCAAGUGCACGAAUCGAAUACUUAAUAUAGCUUACAACUGCGAGGUCGAACCCUAAGGAGUUGAUGGAUGGAACGUGUUUAUCUAACUCACUAAUUAUAAUUAAUUCCUAAUCUAGCUUAGAAAUUUUGAGGGAAUUUUUAUCAACUAAAAAUACGCAAAUAAAAUAAUCAAUGAUAAAAUACUAGGGUGACAAAAUCAUAUACUUGAUAUCAUUUUCCUAAUAUUCAUGCCCAAUACUCUACUUUUAUCUCUCACUAAUUUGGUCUCGACUUUAUUAGAUGCGGAAAAUAAAAUCAAUUAAGUCCAAUUAAUUUAUAAAAUCAAAUUGUGAAUUCUUUCAUAGCCAAACAUAUGUAUAAAAUCAAAACACUCGUUAUUUCCAUCAAAACACAGUUUAUAUCCGCUUUGAACAAAUUACAAACCGAAUCCAAUAAAUAAUAAUGAGAAUCCAACCUUAUUUUUUUUAUGAGUAAAAAAAUAGACAUCCAAUAGAAAGAAUUAUUUUUAACGCGAACAGGGACGGAGCUACAUGGAUGUUAGAGGGGGCCACGGCCCCCCCAAGGUUUAAAUUUUUGUAAGAUUCACUCCAAUGUUUGAAAAUUUUAUAAAACUCACUUGUACAUUUGGUUUGUUUUGAAAAUUUUGUAAGACUACGGCCCCCAAGUUUUGACGAAGUUUUGAUAUGUUUUAAAAAAAAUUUCCACCCCCCAAAGAACAAAUCCUGGCUCCGUCCCUGAAUGCAAAAACACUAAAUUGAUAGAAUAAAUUGGCAUGAAUAUGUGCAAUAGAAUCAAUCAAUUAUACUCAUCCUCGACCCUAGAAAAUAAUUAACAUUGCAUGAUUGAAAUUAGAACACAAUGCAUAAUAAAAUAAUCCAUAAUUAACCUAACAGAUUACUCAUUUGAAUAUACUAAUUAAUUGAAGAAGGAAGUAAAAUAAAUUUUGAAAUUCAAAAUUAUUCUGCUCUAAAUAAGAAACAAUGCUAUCUUAUCAUUUAAAAGUAAAGAAUAAACUGAAUAAACAAACUGGCCAACAAAAGAGGCUCAAAUGGUUCAAUAUAUGUAAAACAACUCCUACAGUAAGACUUUAAUUGCCACAAAAUGCUCAAGAUACUACAUCUAUAUGAGAAUAAAUGAAAUAACUUCAAUAAUACCUCCAUUUUGGCUGCCAAAGAUAAACAGGCUACAACUGCAUCAUCCAAGAUUUGCUAUUUUGUAAGUCAUAGGCAGAAAAGAAUAUGUCCAAAUAGUUCGGAAACAAAUACGCACUAAAAAAAAUCGACAACUAAAAAAAAAGGCCCCUCUUAUGAGCUUCAGAUUCAGAAUAAAACAGGAAAAAAUCUGAAGGAUCUGUUUUUUGGUUUGCUGCCGAACUCCCCAUUUCUCUCAGAUCUGCUCCCCUUAUUUGAUCUCUUCCUUGGUUCUCGCGCUACUGAGUUUAUCCCCCUCUAUCUAUAUUUGAUCCAUCUCUUUUAAAAACAAACCCUCAUUCCUUGUCUACCGUAAACUGCAAAUUGUGAGGAACAAAUAAAACUGGGCUGCUACCCAUAGGCCCAAUCCUGUCUUUAC